CUGCUAUGAUGCUUUUGAAUUUCUUCACCUGAAAUAUAUGAAGAUACAACAUUUUAACCCUGAGCAAC
ensembl:snoRNA SNORD36 Small nucleolar RNA SNORD36